AAACGUUGUGCGGGUCUAUCAUGCAGUCGACGCUUCUUUUCCUACUGGAGCUUGCUCCACCGGGAAAAGAGGAGUGGCGAACGGGUGAGUAACACGUGGGUAACCUGCCCAUCAGAAGGGGAUAACACUUGGAAACAGGUGCUAAUACCGUAUAACAAUCGAAACCGCAUGGUUUCGUUUUGAAAGGCGCUUUACGGUGCCGCUGAUGGAUGGACCCGCGGUGCAUUAGCUAGUUGGUGAGGUAACGGCUCACCAAGGCCACGAUGCAUAGCCGACCUGAGAGGGUGAUCGGCCACAUUGGGACUGAGACACGGCCCAAACUCCUACGGGAGGCAGCAGUAGGGAAUCUUCGGCAAUGGACGAAAGUCUGACCGAGCAACGCCGCGUGAGUGAAGAAGGUUUUCGGAUCGUAAAACUCUGUUGUUAGAGAAGAACAAGGGUGAGAGUAACUGUUCACCCCUUGACGGUAUCUAACCAGAAAGCCACGGCUAACUACGUGCCAGCAGCCGCGGUAAUACGUAGGUGGCAAGCGUUGUCCGGAUUUAUUGGGCGUAAAGCGAGCGCAGGCGGUUUCUUAAGUCUGAUGUGAAAGCCCCCGGCUCAACCGGGGAGGGUCAUUGGAAACUGGGAGACUUGAGUGCAGAAGAGGAGAGUGGAAUUCCAUGUGUAGCGGUGAAAUGCGUAGAUAUAUGGAGGAACACCAGUGGCGAAGGCGGCUCUCUGGUCUGUAACUGACGCUGAGGCUCGAAAGCGUGGGGAGCAAACAGGAUUAGAUACCCUGGUAGUCCACGCCGUAAACGAUGAGUGCUAAGUGUUGGAGGGUUUCCGCCCUUCAGUGCUGCAGCUAACGCAUUAAGCACUCCGCCUGGGGAGUACGACCGCAAGGUUGAAACUCAAAGGAAUUGACGGGGGCCCGCACAAGCGGUGGAGCAUGUGGUUUAAUUCGAAGCAACGCGAAGAACCUUACCAGGUCUUGACAUCCUUUGACCACUCUAGAGAUAGAGCUUCCCCUUCGGGGGCAAAGUGACAGGUGGUGCAUGGUUGUCGUCAGCUCGUGUCGUGAGAUGUUGGGUUAAGUCCCGCAACGAGCGCAACCCUUAUUGUUAGUUGCCAUCAUUUAGUUGGGCACUCUAGCAAGACUGCCGGUGACAAACCGGAGGAAGGUGGGGAUGACGUCAAAUCAUCAUGCCCCUUAUGACCUGGGCUACACACGUGCUACAAUGGGAAGUACAACGAGUCGCGAAGUCGCGAGGCUAAGCUAAUCUCUUAAAGCUUCUCUCAGUUCGGAUUGUAGGCUGCAACUCGCCUACAUGAAGCCGGAAUCGCUAGUAAUCGCGGAUCAGACGCCGUCCGAC
rnacentral:rRNA from 2 species